rnacentral:lncRNA from 1 species
AGCAAUUCGUGUGGGGAUUUUCUCCGGUACUGCACUGCCAGGCAUCGGCUUGGCUUGCCGGCCUGGGCUGCGCCUGGGGCGCCGUUGCGCGGGGGAUCUGGCGGCCAGCGCUGAUGGGCGACCACAGGCGUGGCGCCGCCGGGCGUCGGUCGGGAGAGGUCGGGAGGUCACGGGCGUGGCGCCGUCGGGCAUGGCGUGGCGCGGGUGGCACAUGUGCCUCGCGUUGGGAGUCGACGAGGACGACGCCGCAGGUGGGCGAUACGGGAAGGAGACCGAGGACCAUCGCCGGCGCUGGGCGCUGCGCGCUAGAGGGCGUUGCCCUGUAGGGAGCCGCAUCCCGUCGUGUGCCAAGGCGAUGCCGACUGCUGUCGCUGGCAAUGGGCUCGAGCACGGGAAGGGCCUUGCCGGGGCAAGACUUGCUUCAUGGAUUCCUGGUCAUGGUAAAGCAAAUAUUUUAUAGCCAUGAAUAAAAUUGGAUUCUGAUUCAGCCUUCUUCCCCUUUGGAUUUUCAUUGUACGAACCAUGCUCGCAUGCUAGUGGCUGCUCGGAUGUUGUGGGCGCAACAUUCAGCACCAAUCAUGGCAGGGAGCGAUUGCGGUGCCGUAGCCAGUGCGAAGGCCGAGAGCGUCCACCAGGCGGGCUCCGCUGCAGAAUUCAUCGUCUUCUCUCUUCUUUUCGAGCAAGCCAUCGACGGCGUUCUCUGCUCAUGGCCUUUCUUGCUCUUGCUUAGAGACUAGCGUGGCUGAUAAUGUGUUAGGGUAAAACGAGAUUGAAUGUAAGUAAAUGGACAAUUAGUCCUGUUUGUAUUGAUUUUCAAGUAUAUAUACAUCUGAAAAAGGUGGAAAGAAGAGGUAGAACAGGUCCCUGUUGAAAAGACAUGACUGUUCGGGGCUCGACAGACCCUUUGCUAAUUAAUUUCUAACAGGAUCCACCUCCCUCUGCCUAUCGCUUAGGUGGCCUGUGGUUGGAGGGGUUUCGAGUGCCUCCACUUGAUAUGGUAUUUUAGAUUAGGUCUUUUCCCUUUCAGGGGUGGCGUCCUGGCGGAGGGCGACGCUUCGGCUAUGAGUUGGUAUGUCGGGAUCCGUUCCUCCUUGAGUUCAUCCGUUGGAAGGGAGUUAUUGAAGCUUUGACCUAGAUUCAUGUUGUCUUCUUGGACGGUGAGGUUAGGAUUUCUCUCCAUGCAUGCAAGCCGAUAAGAUUUAUUAUAAUGUGCUUUAGAUUAAUUUAACGGUUUAAUGAUGACGACCACGAUGGGGCACUAAUCCUUAAGGACACAUGAAUGUAGACUUCGCAACUGUAAUAAAAAAGGCCAAGCCCGUUUUAUAGAGAAGUGGCAACAACAAAGGCAAAGCAUCAGCGGCUCGUUUUGGAUGGUAGUGGUGGUUCGGUGAUGUAGAAUCUUUGAUGUAUUAUUUAUGAUGGUUAGGGUGCUUUGUAUUUUUAUUAUGAAUCUUUAUAAUAGAUAUGAGUCCUUUUUCACAUAAAGAAGUUGC